rnacentral:tRNA from 1 species
CCAACAGUUUCAGGAUUGUUGAGCUCCAUUGGCGGGAUUUCGCCGUCUUCGUUUCUCUUUCUUCGCGGACGAACACGCGCCAGGGGCUGAGCGCUGUGCGGUGCACCGACUAAACGUCGCGUGCGCGCCGGCAUGUCUCUCGUGUUAGGGGCUUGUAGCUCAGUUGGUUAGAGCGCGCGCUUGAUAAGCGUGAGGUCGGAAGUUCAAGUCUUCCCAGGCCCACCAUUUUGAUCGAGUGCGGAGCAUUCGUCUUCUGGUACGGGGCCAUAGCUCAGCUGGGAGAGCGCGUGCUUUGCAAGCAUGAGGUCGUCGGUUCGAUCCCGUCUGGCUCCACCAGAUGGUUUGAUCACCAACGGCGUUACCGUCGUCCGCGAAACAUCACUUCGCACUCAUUGGUCCGGAUGGACGGUGACGUGCGUGUUUUCUGACAUCGUAAAGAGGAGAUCGAUCCGAGUUUGGAUCAAGCGAAGCAGUUCGCCUGAACCAUUCAUUAUCUCCGGGAUCAUUUCGGCGCUCGUUUUCAAUCGUGAGAUUGGAUGCGGGUUGUAAAUGAUCCCUUUUAGCGAAGCUUGACCGCCUCGCUAU